GGAAUAACGGUUUUCCCGUUAGGUGACCUGCGGCAGGAUCAUUA
rnacentral:rRNA from 1 species